rnacentral:rRNA from 1 species
GUGCCAGCAGCCGCGGUAAUACGUAGGGUGCAGGCGUUAAUCGGAAUUACUGGGCGUAAAGCGUGCGUAGGCGGUUUGUUAAGACAGGUGUGAAAUCCCCGGGCUUAACCUGGGAACUGCGCUUGUUACUGGCAGACUUGAGUGUGGCAGAGGGGGGUGGAAUUCCAGGUGUAGCAGUGAAAUGCGUAGAUAUCUGGAGGAACACCGAUGGCGAAGGCAGCCCCCUGGGCUAACACUGACGCUGAUGCACGAAAGCGUGGGGAGCAAACAGGAUUAGAUACCCUGGUAGUCC